rnacentral:rRNA from 1 species
UACGGAGGGGGCGAGCGUUAUUCGGAAUUAUUGGGCGUAAAGGGUGCGUAGGCGGGUCUUUAAGUCAGGGGUGAAAUCCUGGAGCUCAACUCCAGAACUGCCUUUGAUACUGAGGAUCUUGAGUUCGGGAGAGGUGAGUGGAACUGCGAGUGUAGAGGUGAAAUUCGUAGAUAUUCGCAAGAACACCAGUGGCGAAGGCGGCUCACUGGCCCGAUACUGACGCUGAGGCACGAAAGCGUGGGGAGCAAACAGG